rnacentral:rRNA from 1 species
UUACGAAUCGCAUGUCCUAGCGACGGCGAUGCGGCGUUUAAGCUUCUGCCCAAUCAAGCUGACGGUAGGAUAGAGGCCUACCGUACUAGUGACUGGUAACGGGGGAUUAGGGUUUGAUUCCGGAGAGGGAGCCUGAGAAACGGCUACCACAUCCAAGGAAGGCAGCAGGCGCGCAAAUUACCCAAUUUCGAUACGAAGAGGUAGUGACAAGAAAUAACAAUGCAGGGCUCGAAGAGUCUUGUAAUUGGAAUGAGUACAAUCCAAAACACUUAACGAGGAUCAAUCGGAGGGCAAGUCUGGUGCCAGCAGCCGCGGUAAUUCCAGCUCCAAUAGCGUAUAUUAAUGCUGCUGCGGUUGAAACGCUCGUAGUUGGACUUUGGGGCGGGCGCUGGGGUCGGCCUCCGGGCUGUAUCCUAGGGCGUGUCCUUAUGCCGUAGUUGCCUCCCCUGCCUUCGGGUGGGGACUCGGGGCGGCUUCGGCCGGUUACUUUGAAGAAAUUAGAGUGUUCAAAGCAGGCCAACGCCUUGAAUACAUUAGCAUGGAAUAACGCAAUAGGACUUUGGUUCUUUUGUUGGUUUCGAGGACUAGAGUAAUGAUUAAUAGGGACAGUUGGGGGCAUUCGUAUUCGGUUGUCAGAGGUGAAAUUCUUGGAUUUACCGAAGACGAACUACUGCGAAAGCAUUUGCCAAGGAUGUUUUCAUUAAUCAAGAACGAAAGUUAGGGGAUCGAAGACGAUCAGAUACCGUCGUAGUCUUAACCAUAAACUAUGCCGACUAGGGAUCGGUGGACGCGUCAAUAGGCUCCAUCGGCACCUUCCGAGAAAUCAAAGUUUUUGGGUUCCGGGGGGAGUAUGGUCGCAAGGCUGAAACUUAAAGGAAUUGACGGAAGGGCACCACCAGGAGUGGAGCCUGCGGCUUAAUUUGACCCAACACGGGAAAACUUACCAGGUCCAGACAUAGCUAGGAUUGACAGAUUGAGAGCUCUUUCUUGAUUCUAUGGGUGGUGGUGCAUGGCCGUUCUUAGUUGGUGGAGUGAUUUGUCUGCUUAAUUGCGAUAACGAACGAGACCUUAACCUGCUAAAUAGUGAUGCGAAGCCUAGCUUCGACGUCACUUCUUAGAGGGACUAUACGAGAAAAUCGUAUGGAAGUUUGAGGCAAUAACAGGUCUGUGAUGCCCUUAGAUGUUCUGGGCCGCACGCGCGCUACACUGACGGAUUCAACGAGUUUUGCCUAGGCCGAUAGGUCCGGGUAAUCUUAGCAAAGUCCGUCGUGCUGGGGAUCGACUCUUGUAAUUUUUAGUCUUGAACGAGGAAUUCCUAGUAAGCGCAAGUCAACAACUUGCGUUGAUUACGUCCCUGCCCUUUGUACACACCGCCCGUCGCUGCUACCGAUUGGAUGAUCCGGUGAAAUUCUCGGACUGUCGCGUGAUGCGCCGUUCGCGGCUCGCUCGCGAUGGGAA